rnacentral:rRNA from 1 species
UACGUAGGUGGCAAGCGUUGUUCGGAAUUACUGGGCGUAAAGGGCGCGUAGGCGGUUCGUUUAGUCCUGUGUGAAAUCCCCCGGCUCAACUGGGGAACUGCACAGGAAACUAGCGGGCUUGAGUUCGGGAGAGGGAAGCGGAAUUCCAGGUGUAGCGGUGAAAUGCGUAGAUAUCUGGAGGAAUACCGGUGGCGAAGGCGGCAUCCUGGACCGACAUUGACGCUGAGGAGCGAAAGCUAGGGGAGCAAACGGG